CCUACGGGAGGCAGCAGUGAGGAAUAUUGGUCAAUGGACGAGAGUCUGAACCAGCCAAGUAGCGUGAAGGAUGACUGCCCUAUGGGUUGUAAACUUCUUUUAUAUGGGAAUAAAAUGUUCCACGUGUGGGAUUUUGUAUGUACCAUAUGAAUAAGGAUCGGCUAACUCCGGGCCAGCAGCCGCGGUAAUACGGAGGAUCCGAGCGUUAUCCGGAUUUAUUGGGUUUAAAGGGAGCGUAGGUGGAUUGUUAAGUCAGUUGUGAAAGUUUGCGGCUCAACCUUAAAAUUGCAGUUGAAACUGGCAGUCUUGAGUACAGUAGAGGUGAGCGGAAUUCGUGGUGUAGCGGUGAAAUGCUUAGAUAUCACGAAGAACUCCGAUUGCGAAGGCAGUUCACUGGACUGCAACUGACACUGAGGCUCGAAAGUGUGGGUAUCAAACAGGAUUAGAUACCCGAGUAGUC
rnacentral:rRNA from 1 species